UACGAAGGGGGCUAGCGUUGCUCGGAAUUACUGGGCGUAAAGGGUGCGUAGGCGGGUCUUUAAUCAGGGGUGAAAUCCUGGAGCUCAACUCCAGAACUGCCUUUGAUACUGAGGAUCUUGAGUUCGGGAGAGGUGAGUGGAACUGCGAGUGUAGAGGUGAAAUUCGUAGAUAUUCGCAAGAACACCAGUGGCGAAGGCGGCUCACUGGCCCGGUACUGACGCUGAGGUGCGAAAGCGUGGGGAGCA
rnacentral:rRNA from 1 species